GGGGAGUGGGAGGUUUUGAACGAUGUUGCGAGGGGUGUUGGGAGAGAGAGACACGGGUAGAGAAGUGAAAAAAAAAACAAAAGCGGAAGGGAAGAUCGAGGAUGAAAGCGCGACGGGGAAACUAGGAAUAGAGAAUAGAAGAAGAGCGCAUAGAAGAGCUACCGAGGCGAGGAGGAACAGCAAUGGUCGGUACCGCGCAAAUUCACCAAUACGAAGACUUACUGGUAACGCUGCCACACCUUCGGGGAGCACCUCGAUGUCGUGUCUUGGACGAUGCCGUGCACUGGGUAAUCUCUGUUUCAGCACAGACACUCGUGAAACGGCGAACGGUUUUUCAAAAAGACACGGUGGUCACUCGCGAGGCACUCACGAUACGCCUUACACGAAGCGUAUAUGCAUGGCAUGUACACACACGAGAACAUAAAAACAAUGCGAUCGCGCUGCUACCUCGUCGUCGUUUGUUCAACUAUAACAGCUCCUCGUCCGAUUAUUGCCAGAUGCACUUGGUUUCCUUGGUAGCACGCAUGCGUUCCGAGACACGAGGAACGUGUAAAUUCGAUUCUGCUGGUCGACGUUACGUCUCUUCUAUACGGAUAAACGCGAGCAGCCGCGAUCGACAACGUCCUCACGCGUACGAACUACCUGUAAACGAAGACUGUCCGUCAACGCUUCAUCACUCUCUGCGAUCCCGCGAUCCUAUACCUACGCAACUACGCGAGCAACUACCGCUACCUCUAACCUACAACUUGGCGGAUCGUCCACUCCAGGCUUGCCAACUACUCGUUGCUAUAUCUUCGACGAUCUCGGACUCGAAAAGGAUCGCCGCUGUACGCGAUGACGUUGCAAGUGCUCUUGCUUUCUUUCUGACUUGCUCGCUUCCUUCCCUGCUUCCUUCCUUCCUUUCUUUCCUUUCUUCCUUCCUCCUCGACUGUCUCACCCUCCGGUUCAUCUGGAGCGCUUGCGCCUCGCACUGUACAAGAUUGCUUAACUCUGUGCUACAUCUAACGGAUGACGUUGUAAACUUCCUAUCUUUUGUUCAACAUUCAAUCAGACAGUCAGCAAGCUCGCGAUUGUUCGCGAUGUGUCAUCCGAUAAUUAACAAGAUUCAUUCUUAAAUGGUGAAACAACUCCACUAUUUGGAUGUCACGAGUGACUACCAGUUUUACCUCCCUAGCCGGUCCGGUUUCUUUCAAUACUCAUGUUUAUGGUCUACUCGAGGAGUUCUUUCAUACUUCUAUUCUUAAUACUACGUCUUCUAGACCGUCGAGAUAGAUCGUUACUAUUCUGCAUC